rnacentral:rRNA from 1 species
AAGAUGUUAAGGGCAGGCGGCGGAUGCCUUGGCACAGGAAGCCGAAGAAGGGCGCGGCAAGCUGCGAUAAUCCGCGGUGAGGGGCACACACCCGACGACCCGCGGGCACCCGAAUGGGAGAACCCCGCCCGGCGAGAGCCGGGCGACCCCGCACCUGAACACAUAGGGCGCGGGGGGGCAACCGGGGGAACUGAAACAUCUAAGUACCCCGAGGAAGAGAAAUCAAAUCGAGAUUCCCCUAGUAGUGGCGAGCGAACGGGGACCUAGGGCAAACCUGGGAGGGCCUAGCCCCCCAGGGGUCGUGGGACCGUCCAUCAGUCCGGUUACAAAGGCGAAGCGAAGCGGAACGGCAUGGGAAGGCCGGCGGAACAGGGUUAGAGCCCCGUACGCGGAUCGCAUCGCCCCGGCGAGACGGCACCCGAGUACCGCCGGGCACGUGAAACCCGGUGGGAAGCUGGGGGGUCCACCCUCCAACCCUGAAUACUCUCCUGUGACCGAUAGCGCACCAGUACCGCGAGGGAAAGGUGAAAAGCACCCCGGGAGGGGAGUGAAACAGUACCUGAAACCGCCUGCCUACAAGCAGUCGGAGCACCUUUUCAGGUGUGACGGCGUGCCUUUUGUAGAAUGAGCCAGCGAGUUGCGGGGCGCGGCGAGGUUAAGGGAUGACCGAGCCGCAGCGAAAGCGAGUCCGAACAGGGCGUCGAGUCGCGCUCCGCAGACGCGAAGCCGGGUGAGCUACCCACGGGCAGGCUGAAGCGGGGGUAAGACCCCGUGGAGGGCCGAACCCACCUAGGUUGAAAACUGGGGGGAUGACCCGCGGGUAGGAGUGAAAGGCCUAUCAAACCCGGAGAUAUCUCGUUCUCCCCGAAAUAGCUUUAGGGCUAGCCUCGGUCGUUCUCCCUCGGGGGUAGAGCACCGGACGGGCGCGGGGGCCUCACCGCCUACCAAACCCGACCGAACUCCGAAUACCGACGGGAUCAAAGGCCGGGAGUCAGAACAUGUGGGCUAAGCCGUGUGUUCGAGAGGGAAACAGCCCAGACCGCCCGCUAAGGCCCCCAAUUCCAUGUUGAGUGGCAAAGGAUGUGCGUCCGCACAGACAACCAGGAUGUUGGCUUAGAAGCAGCCACCCAUUCAAAGAGUGCGUAAUAGCUCACUGGUCGAGUGGACAUGCGCCGACAAUACACGGGGCUAAGCAUGGAGCCGAAGCGGCGGGAUAGUACAGGGUACUAUCGGUAGGGGAGCUUCCCGUGCGCGGGGAAGCCGGGGGACGACCCCCGGUGGAGCGCCCGGGAGUGAGGAUGCUGGCAUGAGUAGCGAGAGACCGGUGGGAAACCGGUCCGCCGUGAACCCAAGGUUUCCGGGGCGAGGCUAAUCCGCCCCGGGUCAGUCGGGAGCUAAGGCGAGGGCGGCAGCCGUAGCCGAUGCGCAGCCGGUCGACAUUCCGGCACCCCCGACGGGCGCUUGACCGAUGGGGCGACGCAGGAGGGUAGCCGGACGGGGUUCUGGACGUCCCCGCGAUGGCCCGUAGGGCGGCUCCUCGUGAAACGCGGGAGCCGAGAAGCCUGAGGGGCCGGACGAAGCCGUCAGGCGAAGCCGGUGAGCCCACGCUGCCUAGAAAAACCCCUAGGGAGCCCGGAGGGGCCCGUACCGCAAACCGACACAGGUGGGUGGGUAGAGCAUACCGAGGCGAUCGGGAGAACCAUGGUUAAGGAACUCGGCAAAAUCGCCCCGUAACUUCGGGAGAAGGGGCGCCGCGGAGGGUGAAGGGGCCUGCCCCCGGAGCCUUCCCCGGCCGCAGCGAAUUGGUCCAAGCGACUGUUUACCAAAAACACAGGACUCUGCUGAAGCCGCAAGGCGACGUAUAGGGUCUGACGCCUGCCCGGUGCCGGAAGGUCACGAGGAGCGGUCAGCGCAAGCGAAGCCGCGAAUCCAAGCCCCGGUAAACGGCGGCCGUAACUAUAACGGUCCUAAGGUAGCGAAAUUCCUUGUCGGGUAAGUUCCGACCUGCACGAAAGGCGCAACGACUUGGGCGCUGUCUCGACCAUGGACCCGGUGAAAUUGCACUAGUCGUGAAGAUGCGACUUACCCGCGGAAGGACGGAAAGACCCCGUGAACCUUUACUGCAGCUUGGCAUUGGCUGCCGGGGCGCCGUGUAGAGGAUAGGUGGGAGACCGCGAUGCGGGGGCGCCAGCCCCCGCGGAGUCGCCCUUGGAAUACCACCCUCGGCGCCUUGGCAUCCUAACCUGCGGCCGUGACCCGGCGCAGGGACCGUGCCAGGUGGGUAGUUUGACUGGGGCGGUCGCCUCCCAAAGAGUAACGGAGGCGCACGUAAGGUCUGCUCAGGGCGGUCGGCAACCGCCCCACCGAGUGCAAGAGCAUAAGCAGGCUUGACUGCGAGGCAGACACGCCGAGCAGAUGGGAAACCAGGUUCUAGUGAUCCGGCGGCGCAGAGUGGUAUGGCCGUCGCUCAACGGAUAAAAGGUACUCCGGGGAUAACAGGCUGAUCUUCCCCAAGAGUCCACAUCGACGGGAAGGUUUGGCACCUCGAUGUCGGCUCAUCGCAUCCUGGGGCUGGAGCAGGUCCCAAGGGUACGGCUGUUCGCCGUUUAAAGCGGUACGCGAGCUGGGUUCAGAACGUCGUGAGACAGUUCGGUCCCUAUCCUCCGUGGGCGCAGGAAGACUGAGGGAGGCUGCCCCUAGUACGAGAGGACCGGGGUGGACGGACCUCCGGUGCGCGGGUUGUUCGCCAAGAGCAUCGCCCGGUAGCCGAGUCCGGCAGGGAUAACCGCUGAAAGCAUCUAAGCGGGAAGCCCUUCCCGAGAUGAGUCUUCCUUCUGGUAAGGACACAGGCAGACUACCUGUUGGAUAGGCCGCAGGCGCAAGUGGGGCGACCCACUCAACCGAGCGGUACUAAUCGUCCGAG